UAGUCAUAUGCUUGUCUCAAAGAUUAAGCCAUGCAUGUCUAAGUAUAAGCAAUCUAUACGGUGAAACUGCGAAUGGCUCAUUAAAUCAGUUAUCGUUUAUUUGAUAGUACCUUACUACUUGGAUAACCGCGGUAAUUCUAGAGCUAAUACAUGCUAAAAACCCCGACUUCGGAAGGGGUGUAUUUAUUAGAUAAAAAACCAAUGCCCUUCGGGGCUCCCUGGUGAUUCAUAAUAACUUAACGAAUCGCAUGGCCUUGUGCCGGCGAUGGUUCAUUCAAAUUUCUGCCCUAUCAACUUUCGAUUGUAAGGUAGUGGCUUACAAUGGUUUCAACGGGUAACGGGGAAUUAGGGUUCUAUUCCGGAGAGGGAGCCUGAGAAACGGCUACCACAUCCAAGGAAGGCAGCAGGCGCGCAAAUUACCCAAUCCCGACACGGGGAGGUAGUGACAAUAAAUACUGAUACAGGGCUCUUUUGGGUCUUGUAAUUGGAAUGAGUACAAUUUAAAUCCCUUAACGAGGAACAAUU
rnacentral:rRNA from 1 species